rnacentral:lncRNA from 1 species
UUUCAGGUAGUUGGGAGCCAGGGAAGGAAUGACACUAUCCCUAGAUGUAGUGAUAUGGUUUUCCUGGGAGGGCUUGACUUAAUCAGGUGAGCCUUUUAAAUGGAUUGGGACCCUCAUGGAGGUCAGAUAUGUUCUCCUGCUGACCUUGAAAAUGUAAUCUGCAAUGUGAACAUGUUGAUGGAGGGGGCCAAAUGCCAAGGACCUGAGGGGGCACCGUGGGAUCUGAGAGUAGUCCGCAGCUAAUAACUAGCAAGAAAAUGAAACCCAACACUUAGCCACAAGAAACUGAAUUAUGCUAACAACUAUUUGAGCUUUGAAGAGGAUCCUGAGCACCAGAAAGUAAUGUCGCAUAGCAACCACGUUGAUUGCAUCCUUGCAAGACCUCGUGAUGACCACUCAAUUAAUUCAUGCCCAGAUUCAUGCCCAUUGAAACUGUGAUAAUACAUGUACGUUGUUUUACAUUA